GACGAACGCUGGCGGCGUGCUUAACACAUGCAAGUCGAACGGAAAGGCCCUGCUUUUGUGGGGUGCUCGAGUGGCGAACGGGUGAGUAACACGUGAGUAACCUGCCCUUGACUUUGGGAUAACUUCAGGAAACUGGGGCUCAUACCGGAUAGGAGCUCCUGCUGCAUGGUGGGGGUUGGAAAGUUUCGGCGGUUGGGGAUGGACUCGCGGCUUAUCAGCUUGUUGGUGGGGUAGUGGCUUACCAAGGCUUUGAAGGGUAGCCGGCCUGAGAGGGUGACCGGCCACAUGGGGACUGAGAUACGGCCCAGACUCCUACGGGAGGCAGCAGUGGGGAAUAUUGCACAAUGGGCGGAAGCCUGAUGCAGCAACGCCGCGUGCGGAAUGACGGCCUUCGGGUUGUAAACCGCUUUCGCCUGUGACGAAGCGUGAGUGACGGUAAUGGGUAAAGAAGCACCGGCUAACUACGUG
rnacentral:rRNA from 1 species